rnacentral:rRNA from 1 species
GUGCCAGCAGCCGCGGUAAUACGUAGGGGGCGAGCGUUGUCCGGAUUUACUGGGCGUAAAGCGCGUGUAGGCGGCGGUUUAAGUCGGGUGUGAAAGCCCGGGGCUCAACCCCGGGACGCCGCCCGAGACUGGAUCGCUUGAGGUCGGAAGAGGGGAGUGGAAUUCCUGGUGUAGCGGUGAAAUGCGUAGAGAUCAGGAGGAACACCCGUGGCGAAGGCGGCUCCCUGGUCCGAUUCUGACGCUGAGACGCGAAAGCGCGGGGAGCGAACGGGAUUAGAAACCCGAGUAGUCC